GACGGAGGAUGCAAGCGUUAUCCGGAAUGAUUGGGCGUAAAGCGUCCGCAGGUGGCAGUUCAAGUCUGCUGUCAAAGACCGGGGCUCAACCUCGGAAAGGCAGUGGGUACGGGCAGACUAGAGUGUGGUAGGGGAGACUGGAAUUCCUGGUGUAGCGGUGGAAUGCGCAGAUAUCAGGAGGAACACCGAUGGCGAAGGCAGGUCUCUGGGCCAUUACUGACGCUGAGAGGCGAAAGCAUGGGGAGCGAACAGG
rnacentral:rRNA from 1 species